UGUUGACGCAAACAAUGACUUUGACGCUGUACUUAAGAAGUUCAGCUUGUGUAAAGCCAUCAGAAUUUGUGCAUGGACCUAGCAGUUUAAUCGUAAUUCUUGCCACCCUUUCAAGUAGAUAAUAGGAUCUCUUGCGACCAAAGAAAUUCAGCAACAAGAAAUGUCUUGGAUCAAGUAAGUGCAGAGCCAAGGGGCAAAGAUGGUCAAGUUUGCCAUGACCAGGAACAACUGAAUCUGCAACUAAACACCAGUGGUGUAUUGGAAUACUGAGGAUGCAUUCAGGGUGAGUAUCUGAUUUACUUACCAGAUUCUAAGUCUUUUACAGUAGAAAUAGUGAAGCAAGCUCAUAAGACAACUCUCCAUGGGGGAGUCAGCAUGACUAUGGCUGAAGUGCCAAGGUUGCCAAGGCUUCUACGGUUUGCUAAGAGAGUAGUGAAGCAGUGCUAUGGCUGCAAGAGGUUCCAGGCUCAGCCCCUUCGUAACCCUCCACCAGGUCAUCUGCUGAAGUCACGUACUGAAGGGAAUACACUUUUUGAUGUCAUUGGAGUGGACUUUGCAGGACAUAUGAAGCAUGAUGGGUGAUUGUGGAGCAGCUGGCACUGUGACUUCAUCUAAAGAUGAGAGACAUAAUACCUUGUGCACAGGAUUCUCAUUUGUGGUAUGGACUGAAGAAGUGAGCUCACUUGAAAUCAGAGUCCGACCUGCUCUUUGCUUUUAGUCAAGGUCCAUAUCACUAGAAGCAAACAUAAGCAUCCUGGGAGUGUAAGGUGAAGGCUGAAAGGGGACUUUUUUCUCUCCCUUCCCGCUUCCAUGUAGUGGGCAUCACUUCCAUGCAGUGGGCAUCAUUGAGAUUAAGGGGGGAUGAGGGGGGGUCAACAGCAAGAUUGCAAAUGUCUAUGCUGCAUUCAAGGGUGGCAGGUGCUUGCAAUUUCAUGAUGUAUCUGUUACCCAUGCCAAUUCAUACUUCUUAGUAAUGGAGUUUGAAGUCAGUAUUGUAAGUUGCAGACCAAGUAUUUCCUGGAUUUAUGGUCAAGGGUGCUAAAUUGACCAAUCAUAAUGCUAAAUUGACUAAUCAUAGUGCACAUACUAACUGAGAGAUGACAUUAACUGAAGGAUAAUAAAAAUGUUUAACCUUCGUAUUACUUUUGACUUUUCUUAAGGUCUUAGCUUUGUGUGCUGCAUAUGAAACAACUUGUUAACCCAGAGACUCUUUUCCUGCGUUAAAUGGUACGAAGUCUGAAUUUAAUGAAGACUAACUUGGCUAAUUGUUUUUACUCAUUAGGCAAAAAAAAUUUAAUAAUAGUACCAGCAAAGAUGACUCAAGUCUUCAGUUUGUAAUAAAGAUUCUCUUGUUUGCAAACAUAAUUAUGUAUUUACAGUUACAAUCUUUUAAUAGGCUUUUUUUAAAACAUAGGGAAACUUUAAUACAUGGCACUCUUUAAAAGAUGCAUGUUACAUGCAUGUAUGAUCCAAUAUGUACAGAAACUUUGCAAUAGAUUCAAUAAAAUAAAUAAAAUUAAUAACAAAAUAAAUUACUUGGUUUUCAGAGCAUUGACUAGUUUGUCACCUUUGAAAAUUUUUAAUCUGGGUUCUGUUUAUAUUGGAUAGAGCACAACUGAAAUAUGUUAUUA
rnacentral:lncRNA from 1 species